rnacentral:rRNA from 1 species
GAAAGUAAAUAAGGGCGCAUGGCGGAUGCCUUGGCUCUCGGAGGCGAUGAAGGACGUGAUAAGCUGCGAUAAGCUUCGGGUAGGUGCAAAUGACCUUUGAUCCGAAGAUUUCCGAAUGGGACAACCCGGCAUUCUGAAGGAAUGUCAUCCAACUUGGUUGGAGGCUAACGCAGGGAACUGAAACAUCUUAGUACCUGCAGGAAAAGAAAAUAAAUAAUGAUUCCCCUAGUAGUGGCGAGCGAACGGGGAUUAGCCCAAACCACCCAUGUUACGGCAUGUGUGGGGUUGUAGGACCACGCUCUCGCAAGACAGUUAUUGAGAAGAAACGACUGGAAAGUCGUGCCAUAGACGGUGAUAGCCCGGUAUUCUAAGGUAACCGAAGCGUAGUGGUAUCCUGAGUAGCGCGGAGCACGAGGAAUUCUGCGUGAAUCAGCCGGGACCAUCCGGUAAGGCUAAAUACUCCCGAGAGACCGAUAGCGAACCAGUACUGUGAAGGAAAGGUGAAAAGCACUUCGAAUAGAAGAGUGAAAUAGUCCCUGAAACCAUGCGCCUACAAGCGGUCGGAGCAGCUUAAGUUGUGACGGCGUGCCUUUUGCAUAAUGAACCUACGAGUUACUUUUUCCGGCAAGGUUAAGCAUCUUGAGAUGUGGAUCCGAAGCGAAAGCGAGUCUGAACAGGGCGGAUAGUCGGAAGGAGUAGACGCGAAACCAAGUGAUCUACCCUUGGGCAGGUUGAAGGUUAGGUAACACUAACUGGAGGACCGAACCGAUAAGCGUUGAAAAGCUUCCGGAUGACCUGAGGGUGGGGGUGAAAGGCUAAUCAAACUUGGAGAUAGCUCGUACUCCCCGAAAUGCAUUUAGGUGCAGCCUUGAGAGUUACUAAUGUGAGGUAGAGCGACUGAUAAGAUGCGAGGGCUUCACCGCCUAUCAAGUCUUGAUAAACUCCGAAUGCGCAUUAGUUCUAUCUCAGGAGUGAGGGCAUGGGUGCUAAGGUCCAUGUCCUAAAGGAGAAGAAUCCAGACCAUCAGCUAAGGUCCCCAAAUAAACACUAAGUUGAACUAACGAAGUCAGAUUGCUAAGACAGCUAGGAUGUUGGCUUGGAAGCAGCCAUUCAUUUAAAGAGUGCGUAACAGCUCACUAGUCGAGGAGUUUGGCGUGGAUAAUAAUCGGGCAUUAAGUGUUUUACCGAAGCUAUGGGAUACGUAAGUAUCGGUAGGGGAGCAUUCCACUCAGCGUUGAAGGCGAAGCGUGAGCUUUACUGGAGCGUGUGGAAAAGCAAAUGUAGGUAUAAGUAACGAUAAAGGGGGUGAGAAACCCCCUCGCCGAAAGACUAAGGUUUCCUGAUCAACGCUAAUCGGAUCAGGGUUAGUCGGGUCCUAAGGCUCAGCCGAACGGUGAGGCCGAUGGCAGAACAGGUUAAUAUUCCUGUACUACCUAUAGGAGUGAUGUGGAGACGGAGGAGUGACAACGCCGCGGACUGACGGAAUAGUCCGUUAAAGGGUGUAGAUGUUGAUUAUCCCAGGCAAAUCCGGGAUAAGAGUCGAACCUGACAGUAUACCAAUUUCCUCGGAAAACGGUAAUAGUGCGUGUAAACAUACUCCCAAGAAAAUCCGCUAAACUUAAUCUUAUAGGUACCCGUACCGUAAACGGACACACGUAGUCGGGUUGAAUAUACUCAGGCGCUUGAGUGAAUCACGGUUAAGGAACUAGGCAAAUUGACCCUGUAACUUCGGGAUAAAGGGUCCCUACCCGGUGACGGGAGGGCGCAGAGAAUAGGUCCAGGCAACUGUUUAACAAAAACACAGGGCUGUGCAAAAUUGAAAGAUCACGUAUACAGCCUGACACCUGCCCGGUGCUGGAAGGUUAAGAGGAGAUGUCAUCGCAAGAGAAGCAUUGAAUUGAAGCCCCAGUAAACGGCGGCCGUAACUAUAACGGUCCUAAGGUAGCGAAAUUCCUUGUCGGGU